rnacentral:sRNA from 12 species
AUACACAUGCGGUCAUGAUAAUGCAGUUAAGGAUGCAGCAGACUGAUUAAUCCAGACAUCCCGCUACAAGCGUACGCUGGUCAGGCCUGGUCCGGUAAAGGUGCUCUGAAUACCAGAGAUAUUUCUGGCGAAACCCACCUCAAGGUGGGUUUU